rnacentral:rRNA from 1 species
AUGCCUGACCGGCCAUGGGAGCACGGCAGUGUUGUUGCGGCCGUAGAGGUGUGUGUCGAGGCUGCCGUUGGGCAUCAGCUCGUACACGAGGAGGAGCUCGCCGCCGCCGUGGCACCAGCCGAUGAGCUGCACCAGGUUCCGGUGCCGAAGCCGGCUUAUGAUCCUCACCUCGGAGGCAUACUCCUUCCUCCCUUGCCUGGAGCCCUUGGAAACUCUCUUGAUGGCAACGUCAAUGUUCAUUUCCUUCAAGAAUCCUCUGUACACCGAGCCGAAUCCUCCUUCCCCGAGCUUCUUCUCGUCGGAGAAGCUGUCAGUAGCCAUGGCCAGCUCGCCGUAGCGGAACCGCUUUGGCCCGGUCCCUUUCUCGAAGUCGUCUUCCAUGGCCAGGUCGUCGCCGUCCAAGAAACUGCUCUCUUCCGCCGCCGUAGAGAGAGACAGACCAAGGAGCCAAGAAUGAUCAGUGACGACACGGAACCGACUGAGAGGCCGAUGACAAGCGCUCUUCUGGAGCCGGACGAUGAUUCUGAAGGAAAAAUAAAAUCCAUGGAAAACACUGCAUCAGCAUCAUAG